AUUUCAUUGGUUUUCAGAUAUUUUUCUACUUUCUCUAGAACUUUAUUCAUUCUGCCAACAGUUUCUUCUAAAUUUACUCCAGUACAGGCCAAUAAGGUAUCAUCUGCAAAUCAGUUGAUGAACUCACAGUCUGUAAAUAAUUGAAUAUCAUUCAGAUACAGAAUGAAUAAUAGGGGACCAAGCACACUACCUUGUGGCACUCCUGU